GAUGAAGAACGUAGCGAAAUGCGAUAACUAAUGUGAAUUGCAGAAUUCAGUGAAUCAUCGAGUCUUUGAACGCACAUUGCGCCCCCUGGUAUUCCGGGGGGCAUGCCUGUCCGAGCGUCAUUGCUGCCCUCAAGCACGGCUUGUGUGUUGGGCUCCGUCCCCCCGGGGACGGGCCCGAAAGGCAGCGGCGGCACCGAGUCCGGUCCUCGAGCGUAUGGGGCUUUGUCACCCGCUCUGUAGGCCCGGCCGGCGCCAGCCGACAACCCAUCAUCCUUUUCAGGUUGACCUCGGAUCAGGUAGGGAUACCCGCUGAACUUAAGCAUAUCAAUAAGCGGAGUA
rnacentral:misc_RNA from 1 species